GUUAAAAACUGAUAAGAAAUAUGCUAUAUAUGCUAUUAAAAAACCCCUACAGCUUCCAGGAUUCUAUAGCCUUGAGCAUUUGGUGGCAUCUUCAUACCCCAAUUAAUUUCAAUGCAACCUUUUUGGUUCUAGGUUUUUCCUGCCUGGACUUUGGCUCAGCCCCGGUUCCGUGUCCGGAAGGUACCUUCCGUCCUCUGGAAAGUCUCCCUCCGCAUCGAUGUUUGCGUUGCCCCGUGGAUUUCUUCAACGACAAACCCGGACAGUCGGCUUGCUUUCCAUGCGGCUCCGAAGCCGUCCAACCCAAAGAAGGCCAAAAGCUUUGCAAAUGCCUUCGGGAAGGUCGGAUUUUCCAGCCUAGCGAUGCUCAAUGCCCAUGCGCUCCUGGGUAUAAAAACCCGGCCAACGACAGGAGAUGGGACUGCGUGAAGGAAGUGUACGACAUCUGCCGGGACGGAGCGGUCAGAAACCAAGAACGAGCGUGCUUGACAAAAGAAGGAUGGACACAAUAUUGCACAGACAAGGUGCUGCAAAUGGAAGGGUCCAUACGGGUUUGGAGCCUUGGUAGAACUAGAUCUCACUCUGGUCUCGCCUCUGCUAGGUUUGCAGUCGUCCUCAAGACUUCCAGGGAUACGACAGAGUCCUCGGCCUUUGCCUUUGCCAAGCGGAGCGUCUGGACAGCGUCUGCGAUGACCGGUGUAGACGGCGGCAAAGGAACACCUUGCAGUUGGUCUGUGACCAUGAACGGCCUCGUCUCUUGGUGACUUACAGAAAUGGGAGCCAGAUCAGAGUCAUGCCACACGGCGGACAGUGUUACGACGAGGGGCCCUUCUUCCCAAUGACUCCUCGGCACGUCAUCCAAGUGGGAAUUGCGCCGAUCCCGGAUCUCGUCCUGAAACCUGAUUGGCAAGCAAUCGUUGGGAUCAUCGUUGGACUUCUCUUCCUCCUCCUCCUCUGCCUCCUAGCAAUUGUGAGUAAAUGGAAGGCUAAUAAUAAUAAUAUACUUUAUUUAUAUUCCACUCUAUCUCAAGAUAGAACUUCAACACGGAUUUACCAAAAACAAGUCAUGCCAGACUAAUCUGAUCUCUUUUUUCGAUAGAGUUACGAGUUGGGUCGAUACAGGGAAUGCUGUGGAUGUAGCGUACCUGGAUUUCAGUAAGGCCUUCGACAAAGUCCCCCACGACCUUCUGGCAAACAAACUAGUAAAAUGUGGGCUAGACAAAACUACGGUGAGGUGGAUCUGUAAUUGGCUAAGCGAACGAACCCAAAGGGUGCUCACCAAUGCGUUGUCUUCAUCAUGGAAAGAAGUGACAAGUGGAGUGCCACAAGCAGGGCUCCGUCCUGGGCCCGGUUCUGUUCAGGAUCUUUAUUAACGACUUAGACGAAGGGUUAGAAGGCACGAUCAUCAAGUUUGCAGACGACACAAAACUGGGAGGGAUAGCUAACACUCCAGAAGACAGGAGCAGAAUCCAAAACGAUCUUGACAGACUAGAGAGAUGGGCCGAAACUAACAAAAUGAAGUUCAACAGGGACAAAUGCAAGAGACUUCACUUCGGCAGAAAAAAUGGAAAUCAAAGAUACAGAAUGGGGGACGAUGCCUGGCUUGACAGCAGUGUGUGCGAAAAAGACCUUGGAGUCCUCGUGGACAACAAGUUAAACAUGAGCCAACAAUGUGAUGGGGCUGCUAAAAAAGCCAAUGGGAUUCUGGCCUCAUUAAUAGGGGAAUAGCGUCUAGAUCCAGGGAAGUUAUGCUCCCCCUCUAUUCUGCCUUGGUCAGACCACACCUGGAAUACUGUGUCCAAUUUUGGGCACCACAGUUGAAGGGAGAUGUUGACAAGCUGGAAAGCGUCCAGAGGAGGGCGACUAAAAUGAUUAAGGGUCUGGAGAACAAGCCCUAUGAGGAGCGGCUUAAAGAGCUGGGCAUGUUUAGCCUGCAGAAGAGAAGGCUGAGAGGAGACAUGAUAGCCAUGUACAAAUAUGUGAAGGGAAGUCGUAGGGAGGAGGGAGCAAGCUUGUUUUCUGCUGCCCUGCAGACUAGGACGCAAGGAACAAGGCUCAAACUACAGGACGGAAGGAGAUCACCUGAACAUCAGGAAGAACUUCCUCACUGUGAGAAGGGCUGUUCGACAGUGGAACUCUCUCCCGGGGCCGUGGUGGAGGCUCCUUCCUUGGAGGCUUUUAAGCAGAGGCUGGAUGGCCAUCUGUCGGGGGUGCUUUGAAUGCGAUUUCCUGCUUCUUAGCAGGGGGUUGGACUAGAUGGCCCAUGUGGUCUCUUCCAACUCUACUAUUCUAUGAUUCUAUGAUUCUAUGACUCUGGCAGAAACCAGUGCAGGUGGUCCCUGUGGCGAUCGGCACAUUGGGUGCUGUGCCAAAAGAUCUCAGCCGGCAUUUGGAAACAAUAGACAUUGACAAAAUUAUGAUUUGCCAACUGCAAAAGGCCACCCUGCUGGGAUCUGCACGCAUCAUCCGAAAAUACAUCACAGAGUCCUAGACACUUGGGAAGUGUUCGACUUGUGAUUCUGUGAUACGAAAUCCAGCAUACCGUGUUUCCCUGAAAAUAAGACAGCGUCUUAUAUUUAUUGUUGCUCCCAAAGAUGUGCUAGGUCUUAUUUUCAGGGGAUGUCUUAUUUUCCAUGAAGAAGAAUUCACAUUUAUUGUUGAACAAAAAAUGAACAUUUAUUAUAUACUGUACAGUAGUUGUCAUCACAAACCAGCAUAACCAGACAAACUGUGAAUCCUAUCAAGAAUUUCUUGUUAUUACCAUUAUUUCCAUGUACAACUGGUAUGUACAUUUACCAAUCCUGAAUGCUCUGGUGUUCUGUUUGGCAGGCACUGGGCAUGAUUCCAAACAAAAACUUUGCUAGGUCUUACUUUCGGGGAGGCCUUAUAUUUAGCAAUUCAGCAAAACUUCUACUAGGUCUUAUUUUUCGGGGAUGUCUUAUUUUAGGGGAAACAGGGUAUCUAUUUUGUUUGCUGUGUCAUACAAUAAAAUAAUAAUAUACUUUAUUUAUAUCCCUCUCUAUCUCCCUGAGGGGACUCAGGGUGGAUUACAGAACACAAGCAUUCAAUGCCAUUAUGCAAUUAACAAGGACAGACAAUACACAAACAGAGGUAAAGGCAUUUCCCAUCUUAUUUCCGGCAUCUUGGAUGCUGUGCUCAACUCCGGCCACAGGACAGUGCUGUCGUUCCAUUUUCCAUGCCGAAGAGCUUUUGUCGUCCUUAGACAUCCUCCCAAUCUAUGUCCUUAAGAGGGUCUUUUUUAUUACUGCCCCACUAAAAACGGUACCUAUUUAUCUACUCACAUUUCUGCUUUUGAUCCGCUAGGUGGGCAGGGAGUUGGAGCUGAGGGUGGGUGCUCACCCCGACCCGGGCAAAGAACUGCCGACCUUUCAAUCGGCAGAAUUUUCUGCAGCUAACUGUGUUUAAUCCGGCCUAACACAACGACCCCAUACUCUCCAACUAUCCUC
rnacentral:lncRNA from 1 species